GAACGGGCGGGCGGGCCCGCGGCAGAGCGCGAGUCCCGCCCGCUCCUCCCCGCAGGCCGAUGGCCCCGCUGCGGAGGGAGGGCCGCGUUUCCCCGGAGCGCCGUGAGGCCGGGAUCGGCCGCUGGCCGCGCCCGGGACCGUCCCCGGGCAGCGGUCCUGUCCCUGCUGCCUCGCACGGCUGCGCUCGGGCGGGCUCCUGAGCGGCCUUCCGAGGGGCCGUGCCAGGGUCAGACCUGUGUCACACAGCGGGGCCUCUGUGUUUCAGUAGCUGCUGCUUGGUUUGACACUCGCUUGAUUGUGAGUGCUGUGGCUGGUGGAGUUCCCUGGUGAACCGCUCUUGCUGUGAAGAUAAUUCUGUGCACGCAGCCUGGCAUUUCUGUAUUUCCACUGCGAGGAUCUCCGGGUGUUGUUAUUAAACAUUCCAUCAGCAAGAUAGUGCAUAAUUUUAAUAUUUAGACUGUUUUAAGUGCGUUUUAAGUUGUUGAUACAAACAAUAAAAUGUACUUUCUCUUAGGAGUGUCAUGUAAAAAUAAGAUUUUCAUGUGAAAACAGAAAAUGGCUUCGAGAGGAACAACAGAGACCAGUAAACUAAAACAAAACUUGGAGGAGCAGUUGGACAGAUUAAUGCAGCAACUUCAAGAUCUGGAAGAAUGCAGAGAGGAGCUGGAUGCAGAUGAGUAUGAAGAGACCAAAAAAGAAACUCUAGAGCAGCUGAGUGAGUUCAAUGACUCCCUGAAGAAGAUUAUGUCUGGAGAUAUGACUUUGGUGGAUGAGCUCGGUGGCAUGCAACUGGCAAUACAAGCAGCCAUCAGCCAAGCAUUUAAAACUCCAGAAGUGAUUAGAAUGUUUGCAAAGAAGCAGCCGAGGCAAUUGAGGACAAGGCUGGCAGAGAUGGACAGAGACUUAAUGGUUGGGAAGUUGCCACGAGACCUGUACACCCAGCAGAAACUAGAAAUCCUGACUGCCCUCAGAAAGCUUGGUGAGAAGCUCACUGGUGAUGAUGAGAUGUUCUUGUCAACAAAUGCUGGUACAGCCCUGAGCCAAUUUGAGAGAGUCUCCACUGACCUUGGAUCAGGAGACAAAGUCUUUGCUCUUGCAAGUGUUGAAGUAGAAAAGGCAAAACAAUGAAGAGGUUCGUGAGGCUUGUGUCUCCAGUUAUCAGCAGCACUGGAUUUUGGUCAUACUGUGUUUGGCUUUUCUAUUUCUUACAUGUUGAAAAAAGGCAAAGCAAAACAAAAAACCCAAGCCCUAAAUCUCUUGGGUCCUUAACCAGAAGAUAUGAAGUAAACAGCCUUAAGUGCACUUUGGAACCUUGGUGUCUGUACCCUUUAAGUAAUACAAGCUCUGAGGCUGAACACUAAGUGGAACUCUACAACAAAAGCAUGAACUAGCGUAGUUGAGAGGCCUCUUGAGCAUCCAUCAUGUCUUGUGAUGAGACAGUGACUGAUGGCAAGAUGUCACCUUGCUUGAUAGUAAACGUCUCGGGCAGUUCCCUCACACAUUUUUCCCAGCUCCAGUCACUGAUCAGGACUGCACACGUGGAUUAUCUGAUCUCCUGUGGUUUCUAGAAGCAGGAAAUCCAGGAGCUGGCAGGAGGGGAAUGAACCGUGAGGGCGUCCCCGGAAAGAGUCCGGAGGAGAUGUACAUCCAGCAGAAACUGACGGCCAGCGAGGAGGAGUUCCUGCGCACGUACGCGGGGGUGGUGAACAGCCAGCUGAGCCAGCUGCCCCAGCACUCCAUCGACCAGGGUCAGAGACAGAAGACAGAAGACAGUAACUGCAGGACACCUGAACAACACAGAACUGGAGAGGACAGUGAGAUUCCUGAAGAUAGAGGAGGAUGGCUGAGCAUUAAUAAGUUCCUCUGUCCACCCUAAUUGUUCCUUGGUAUUCCUUCUCCUUUGUAAUGUUGUUUCCCUUUGCCCAACCCUCAGAAUGCAUCUCACAGCCAUCUGUUCCUGUCAGAUUUUGCAGCUCAGCCGGGCUGUGUUCAUUCAGGACAAACCUAAAGGUGUGGUUUUGGUUGGCUCAAAGGGACAGGCUGUGGUUGGAUAAAGGAAGGCAAUUUUUCAAACUUGACCAAUGGAAACCUUUUAUCUCACGUUUUAUUUUAUAUUUUAAACAAAGUCUCUUGACAUCCUACUUCUAAAGAAGCUUUUCAUGCUGUGGUGCUUAUUUAGGUCAAACUUGUGAAUUUGAAGAGGGUUUGAUUUGGCUGCAUAGAACUGGAAGCAACUUGUGGUUGGGUGACAAUGCAAAAGCUUUCCCUUCAGUUGGCUUGCAGGUAUUUUGCUGACUCCAACGUUUUCAUUGCAGGAAGCUGAUGUUUUGGUGCAUUGGUUAUUUCUUUAUACUUUUUGACUUGGGGGGGAAAAGACAAAUGUGCUUUGCAAUAUUUAUUACAUCUACACACAUAUAAACGCUUGCUUUUGGGGGGUUGUUUUGGUUUUUUGAUUGGCUUUGAAGUCAUGGUUUGAUUUCCUUUUGGCUGCAGUGUUUCUGAUGGAAUCAGUUUUUCCAUACUCAGCUGCUCUCUGGCCUGGAGCUCUUUUGGGAGCAUGUGUCAAAGCAGAUUUGGUUCAAGAAGUCCACCUGGCCAGGCUGGAGGCCGAGGGUGCCCAGCCUGGUGGGCAGGGGGCUGUGCCCAGCCCUGGUGGGCAGGGGGCUGUGCCCAGCCCUGGCACUCCUCUGCCCGGGGGCUCCUCCCUGCUUCCCUCACAGGAGCUGGAGAUGUUUUGCAGGAAUUGCAAGAGUGAGAUCUAAGGCUGUGACAUGAGUUUGCCAAAUUUGUAUAGAGAAUAUGUGAACUUGUUUAAAAUACUGCAGAGUCCCACUUUAACCCUUUGACUGCUGCACAAGACUAGCUCUCACAUUAGGAACAAUUAAUGAUCAUUGACUUAAAUCCAGCUUGCACUGGGCUUUAAUAAACUGAAGUUUCUAGUCACUUGAAAAACUGCACAUGGUUUCCCUCCUUGCAGCUGCUUGGUGGUAGGGAAAUCCUCUGGGUCCUAGGCUAGCAGCAUGUUCCUGAGGCACUGUUGCAGGAGGCAGCAGUGCUGCUUCAGGCUGUCCAGCCCUGAGUGUGCAGGUGACACUCUCAGGUUCUCUCUGCAGCUGCAGGGCCUCCAGACACACACACAGACCUUGACAGACUGAAAAACCUGCAGUGGAAGUCCCGAGGUGCACUGACUGCUCAGGAGUCUGCAUGUAGUCUCCAGCACUGCUGCCUAAAACCAGGCACUUCAUUUCCUCUCAUGUGUGCAGGUGGUUUUUACAAAACUUCUGGAUUUUGCUGUGGGUUGCACUGACUUCGAGAUGUUUCAGAAUCUAUUAAAGCUGAACUCAA